rnacentral:rRNA from 1 species
UACGUAGGGUGCAAGCGUUGUCCGGAAUUAUUGGGCGUAAAGAGCUCGUAGGCGGCUUGUCGCGUCGAAUGUGAAAUCUCAGGGCUCAACUCUGACAUUGCAUUCGAUACGGGCAGGCUAGAGUUCGGUAGGGGAGACUGGAAUUCCUGGUGUAGCGGUGAAAUGCGCAGAUAUCAGGAGGAACACCGGUGGCGAAGGCGGCACGCUGGACCUCUUCUGACGCUGAGGCGCGAAAGCCAGGGGAGCAAACGGG